GAUGAACGCUGGCGGCGUGCUUAACACAUGCAAGUCGAACGAUGAACCGGGUGCUUGCACUCGGGGAUUAGUGGCGAACGGGUGAGUAACACGUGAGCAACCUGCCCCUGACUCUGGGAUAAGCGCUGGAAACGGCGUCUAAUACUGGAUAUGUCCCAUCACCGCAUGGUGUGCGGGUGGAAAGAUUUUUCGGUUGGGGAUGGGCUCGCGGCCUAUCAGCUUGUUGGUGAGGUAAUGGCUCACCAAGGCGUCGACGGGUAGCCGGCCUGAGAGGGUGACCGGCCACACUGGGACUGAGACACGGCCCAGACUCCUAAGGGAGGCAGCAGUGGGGAAUAUUGCACAAUGGGCGGAAGCCUGAUGCAGCAACGCCGCGUGAGGGAUGACGGCCUUCGGGUUGUAAACCUCUUUUAGCAGGGAAGAAGCGAGAGUGACGGUACCUGCAGAAAAAGCACCGGCUAACUACGUGCCAGCCGCCGCCGUAA
rnacentral:rRNA from 1 species